rnacentral:rRNA from 1 species
AUUGAACGCUGGCGGCAGGCCUAACACAUGCAAGUCGAACGGUAACAGGAAUCAGCUUGCUGAUUCGCUGACGAGUGGCGGACGGGUGAGUAAUGUCUGGGAAACUGCCUGAUGGAGGGGGAUAACUACUGGAAACGGUAGCUAAUACCGCAUAACGUCGCAAGACAAAAGAGGGGGACCUUCGGGCCUCUUGCCAUCGGAUGUUCCCAGAUGGGAUUAGCUAGUAGGUGGGGUAAUGGCUCACCUAGGCGACGAUCCCUAGCUGGUCUGAGAGGAUGACCAGCCACACUGGAACUGAGACACGGUCCAGACUCCUACGGGAGGCAGCAGUGGGGAAUAUUGCACAAUGGGCGCAAGCCUGAUGCAGCCAUGCCGCGUGUAUGAAGAAGGCCUUCGGGUUGUAAAGUACUUUCAGCGAGGAGGAAGGUGUUGAGGUUAAUAACCUUAGCAAUUGACGUUACUCGCAGAAGAAGCACCGGCUAACUCCGUGCCAGCCGCCGCAGUAA